UAUUUAUUAGUUUAAAAAAAAAACAUUAUAUUUUCAAUAUAAAAAUAAUUUUUAUAUUAUAAAUAA
rnacentral:tRNA from 1 species